rnacentral:lncRNA from 1 species
UGAGAUGUUCUCCAAGCCUUAGGCAUUAUCCACUGGGGCUGGGUACCCCACAGAGUGAAAAAUAAAAGCAAGAAACAAUCCUGGAGGAAGACAAGCUGUGCUCCGUAUCUAAAAAGAACUGUGGAUAACAGCCCAAGAUGGUAUUUUGAAGUGAGUAGACACCUGGAGAAUACAGUCUUCCUGCUACCGGGAUGAUGGAUAAACAUCUUCAAUCAAGACAUCCUAAGGACUCCUAUGGGUUUAGAUGAAGCUGGCAUCUAUGUUCUUCUCUAGGAGACUCUCUGGUUGUGUUUGUUUGGAAGGCGACCUCGGUAAGCAUGGAGCUAGAUGUCAACUGACGAGACGCUUCUGAGAGGGACUCAAAACUGCCGACCUUGGGAAUUUGCUUGAGAGGAGAGAAAUUCUUGGCCACUGAGAGUGCUGAGAAGACAGGGGAGUGAAAAGAAUGUGUCAACAGAGUGAGCCAAGCCCAGGGGACAUGGCAAAGCACCACAAGAAACCAUUGCUCGGCAAAGGACUCCUCAGAUGAGAGUGUACAAAAUAUGAUCAUCCCUCGUCACCAGGGCUAGCCCUAGGAUCCUUGCCCAGGGUGCCACAAUCUUAGAGUACUCAAGUCCCUUAUAUAAACAGCAAAAUGAAUUAGG